rnacentral:rRNA from 1 species
UCAUCAAGAUGAUGCUCGUUAUGGUUUCCGUUGCUGCCAUCUCAAAAACAUUUGGACUGCUCCGCUUCCUCCUGAGACUGAGCUUUCUCGCCAAAUGACGACUUCUACCACAUCUAUUGACAUUAUGGGUCUGCAAGCUGCUUAUGCUAAUUUGCAUACUGACCAAGAACGUGAUUACUUCAUGCAGCGUUACCAUGAUGUUAUUUCUUCAUUUGGAGGUAAAACCUCUUAUGACGCUGACAACCGUCCUUUACUUGUCAUGCGCUCUAAUCUCUGGGCAUCUGGCUAUGAUGUUGAUGGAACUGACCAAACGUCGUUAGGCCAGUUUUCUGGUCGUGUUCAACAGACCUAUAAACAUU